ensembl:lncRNA
GCCACCUCCGUUGGUGGUAGGAGAUACAGUUUCACUGAGGAAAGAUAUCUCAGUCUGUCCUAAAUGCUUUUUGAGGCAAUUCAAAUAAACUAAGUGAAAAUUAUAGAAGUUACAAAUACUUCUACUUAAAAUAAUCUGUUUUUAAGCAGGAUUGAGUUUAUAAGAAAAAUUAACUGGCGUCAUAGAUGUGCACUGCAUAUUUUGCACAUUUUUUGCACUUAAAUGUUUCAAAUCAAACAAAUUUUUAAUAUUAGACAAUGACAACCCAAGUAAAUAAAAAAUGCAGUUUUCACAUGAUGAUUCCAUCUAAUAUGCGAAAAGGGUAUCCAAACUUACUUGGCCCUAUGUAAAAAAGUCAUUCCCCCUAAUCACAAACUAAGUGGGAUUAACCAAAUUUUUGGAAGGCUGAGUUCAAUUUUACCAGCCACACCCAGGUCUGAUUACUGACAGACCUGUUAAAUCAAGAAAUCACUUCAGCAGAGCCUGUCUGAAAAAGUGAAGGAGGGUAAAAAGAUGUCAAAAAGCAAUGAAACGGGCUACAGUCUAAAGAAAAACAUGAAAAACAAAGUCAUUGACAUUACUCUGGAAAGGGUUAAAAAAAAAAAAAGCAAUUUCUAAGGCUUCGGGAUGCAAACAACUCACAGUUAGAGCCAAUUGCCACAAACUGAGAAAACCUAGAGCAGUGAGGAACGCUCCCAGGAGCCAGCCUACCAAAAUUGCAUCAACCACUCAUCCAGGAGGUCACAAAAGAAACCAGAACAACAUCUAAAGAACUGCAGGCCUCACUUUUCUUGGUUAAGGUCAGUGUUCAUGGUUCAACAAUUGGAGAGAGACUGAGCAAAAAUGGCAUUCAGUGGAAGAGUUACAAGGCAAAAAACACUGCACAAGAACACAAAGACUCAUCUUCCAUUUGCCAAAAAACAUCUUGAUGAAGACUUGAGGGAAAAUAUUAUGUGGACUGAUGAGACAAAGGUUUCUGAAACUUUUUUACUCUGGUUAACUUUUUCUAACAUUUAAAUUUGUUUGGUGAUCUGAAACAUAACGUGUGACAAAUAUGCUAAAAAAAUUAAAACUCUGAAAGGCGUCAUGCUUUUUCACUGCACUACACACAAAACUUGCCACUCUGGUGUGUCAGUAAUAUAACAGAUUUGACAUAUACCUACC